rnacentral:rRNA from 1 species
GUUGUGUGUUGUAAGGGCGCAUGGUGGAUGCCUUGGCAUGCUAAGCCGAUGAAGGACGUGGAAGGCUGCGUUAUGCCUCGGGGAGUUGUCAAUCGAGCGUUGAUCCGAGGAUGUCCGAAUGGGGAAACCCGGCUGUGGUUAUUCGCAGUCACCUGCUGGUGAAUAUAUAGCCAGUAUGGGGGUUACGCGGGGAAGUGAAACAUCUCAGUACCCGUAGGAGAAGGAAACAAUAUGUGAUUUCGUGAGUAGCGGCGAGCGAAAGCGAAUGGUGGCUAAACCGUAUGUGUGUGAUACUUGGUAGAGGUUGCAUGUGCGGGGUUGUUGGGAGCGAUUGUAUGACUACUACCAUGGUUGUGCCAGUGUGCGCGUGUUAGGUGAAGUGGUUUGGAAUGGCCCACCGGAGUGGGUGAGAGUCCUGUAGCUGAAGGCAUGUGUGUGUUGGUUGAUUGUUUCCCGAGUAGCGGCGGGCUCGUGGAAUCUGCCGUGAAUCUGCCGGGACCACCCGGUAAGCCUAAAUACUUAGUGUGACCGAUAGCGGAUAGUACCGUGAGGGAAUGGUGAAAAGUACCCCGGGAGGGGAGUGAAAUAGUUCCUGAAACCAUGUGCUUACAAUCCGUCAGAGCACCUUUUGUUGUGUGAUGGCGUGCCUUUUGAAGAAUGAGCCUGCGAGUCAGCGGCAUGUCGCGAGGUUAACCCGUGUGGGGUAGUCGUAGCGAAAGCGAAUCCUAAUUGGGUGUUGUUAGUGGCAUGUCCUGGACCCGAAGCGGGGUGAUCUACCCAUGGCCAGUGUGAAGCAGCUGUAAGAGGUUGUGGAGGCGCGAACCCACGUAGGUUGAAAACUGCGGGGAUGAGCUGUGGGUAGGGGUGAAAGGCCAAUCAAACUCCGUGAUAGCUGGUUCUCCCCGAAAUGCAUUUAGGUGCAGCGUCGUAGUUGAGCUUUGUGGAGGUAGAGCUACUGUUUGGUUGAGCGGGACUAUCAUCUUAGCAACAUCAGACAAACUCCGAAUGCCAUGUAAGUGUUCUACGGCAGUGAGACUGUGGGGGAUAAGCUUCAUAGUCGAGAGGGAAACAGCCCAGAUCGCCGGCUAAGGCCCCUAAGGGUGUACUAAGUGGAAAAGGAUGUGGGAUCGCGAUGACAGCCAGGAGGUUGGCUUAGAAGCAGCCAUCCUUGAAAGAGUGCGUAAUAGCUCACUGGUCGAGUGGUUCUGCGCCGAUAAUGUAGUGGGGCUCAAGUACACCGCCGAAGCCGCGGCAACCAUCUUUGAGGAUGGUUGGGUAGGGGAGCGUCGUGCAUGAGGUGAAGCAUGAGUGUGAACACGUGUGGAUUGUGUGCGAGUGAGAAUGCAGGCAUGAGUAACGAAUUGUAAGGUGAGAAUCCUUACCGCCGGAUGACUAAGGGUUCCUGGGUCAAGUUCGUCUUCCCAGGGUGAGUCGGGACCUAAGGCGAGGCCGACAGGCGUAGUCGAUGGAUAACCAGUUGAUAUUCUGGUACCCGAGUGUGUGCGUCAAUGGUAAAGCAGUGAUACUAACCAUGUUCGAGACUUAUUGAUUAUGCCCUUUUUGGGUAUGUUGAUAGGUUGAGUUUGUGGGGCCUGAUCUGUGGUCCAAGUGAUGGGGUGACGCAGUAGGGCAGCCACGCCGCUUAGUGGAUUGUUGGUGUAAGCGUUGAGGUUGGUGCCAUUGGUAAAUCCGGGUGCUGUAUCCAAGGCGUGAUGCAUAGCCCUUUUUUGGGUGAAUGUGGUGUGCUUGUGCUGUCGAGAAAAGCCUCUAGCGAGUGCAUAUUCGGCCCGUACCCUAAACCGACACAGGUAGUCAGGUUGAGAAUACUAAGGCGUUCGGGUGAACUGUGGUUAAGGAACUCGGCAAAAUGUCCCCGUAACUUCGGGAGAAGGGGAGCCUCACUGGUUGUAUAGGCUGGUGGGGCCGCAGAGAAUAGAGGGGUCCGACUGUUUAUCAAAAACACAGGUCCAUGCGAAAACGUGAAGUUGAUGUAUAUGGACUGACGCCUGCCCGGUGCUGGAAGGUUAAGAGGACCUGUUAGACCUUUUGUGGUCGAAGCGGAGAAUUUAAGCCCCAGUAAACGGCGGUGGUAACUAUAACCAUCCUAAGGUAGCGAAAUUCCUUGUCGGGUAAGUUCCGACCUGCACGAAUGGCGUAACGAGACCCCUGCUGUCUCAACCACAGGCCCGGUGAAAUUGCAGUACGAGUAAAGAUGCUCGUUACGCGCGGCAGGACGAAAAGACCCCGGGACCUUCACUAUAGCUUGGUAUUGGUGUUCGGUUUGGCUUGUGUAGGAUAGGUGGGAGACUGUGAAGUAUGCACGCUAGUGUGUGUGGAGUCGUUGUUGAAAUACCACUCUGGCUUGAUCGGAUACCUGAACCUUGGCCCAUGAUCUGGGUUGGGGACAGUGCCUGGUGGGUAGUUUAACUGGGGCGGUUGCCUCCUAAAGAGUAACGGAGGCGCCCAAAGGUUUCCUCAGCCUGGUUGGCAAUCAGGUUUUGAGUGUAAGUGCACAAGGAAGCUUGACUGUGAGAGUGACUGCUCGAGCAGGGACGAAAGUCGGGACUAGUGAUCCGGCACCUACUUGUGGAUGUGGUGUCGCUCAACGGAUAAAAGGUACCCGGGGAUAACAGGCUGAUCUUCCCCAAGAGUCCAUAUCGACGGGAUGGUUUGGCACCUCGAUGUCGGCUCGUCGCAUCCUGGGGCUGGAGUAGGUCCCAAGGGUUGGGCUGUUCGCCCAUUAAAGCGGCACGCGAGCUGGGUUCAGAACGUCGUGAGACAGUUCGGUCUCUAUCCGCCGCGCGCGUAGAAACUUGAAAAAGGCUGUCCCUAGUACGAGAGGACCGGGAUGGAUACACCUCUAGUGUGCCAGUUGUCACGCCCGUGGCAUGGCUGGUUGGCUACGUGUAGAAGGGAUAACCGCUGAAAGCAUCUAAGCGGGAAGCCUGUUUUGAGAUGAGGUUUCGUUAUUGAGGCGCCCUAGAGAUUAUGGGGUUGAUAGGCUAGAUCUGGAAGCGUUGUAAGGCGUGGAGGUGACUGGUACUAAUUCGCCGAACUACUACAACAC